rnacentral:rRNA from 1 species
UCGAGAAUCUUCGGCAAUGGGCGCAAGCCUGACCGAGCGACGCCGCGUGCGGGACGAAGGCUUUCGGGUUGUAAACCGCUGUCGGAAAGGAAGAAAUGCAUUAGGGUUCACUCUAGUGUUUGACUACCCUUUCGGAGGAAGUCCGGGCUAAGUUCGUGCCAGCAGCCGCGGUAAGACGAACCGGACGAACGUUAUUCGGAAUCACUGGGCUUAAAGAGUGCGUAGGCGGCUUGGUAAGUUGGAUGUGAAAGCCCUCGGCUCAACCGAGGAACUGCGUUCAAUACUGCCAAGCUAGAGGGAGAUAGGGGUGAGCGGAACUAAUGGUGGAGCGGUGAAAUGCGUUGAUAUCAUUAGGAACACCGGUGGCGAAAGCGGCUCACUGGGUCUCUUCUGACGCUGAGGCACGAAAGCUAGGGUAGCGAACGGGAUUAGAUACCCCCGUAGUCC